rnacentral:rRNA from 1 species
UACAGAGGUCUCAAGCGUUGUUCGGAUUCAUUGGGCGUAAAGGGUGCGUAGGCGGCGCGGUAAGUCGGGUGUGAAAUCUUGGAGCUUAACUCCGAAACUGCAUUCGAUACUGCCGUGCUUGAGGACUGGAGAGGAGACUGGAAUUUACGGUGUAGCGGUGAAAUGCGUAGAUAAUCGUAAGGAAGACCAGUGGCGAAGGCGGGUCUCUGGACAGUUCCUGACGCUGAGCACGAAGCCAGGGGAGCAAACGGG